UACGAAGGGGGCUAGCGUUGCUCGGAAUGACUGGGCGUAAAGGGCGCGUAGGCGGCUUGUAUAGUCGGAUGUGAAAUUCCCGGGCUUAACCUGGGGGGCUGCAUACGAGACGUAUGGGCUUGAGUGCGGAAGAGGGUCGUGGAAUUCCCAGUGUAGAGGUGAAAUUCGUAGAUAUCCGGAGGAACACCAGUGGCGAAGGCGGCUCACUGGCCCGGUACUGACGCUGAGGUGCGAAAGCGUGGGGGAGCCAAACAGG
rnacentral:rRNA from 1 species